rnacentral:lncRNA from 1 species
AUUUGCUCCAACUUCAGGCCCUCGAGCCUCCCCUUUCCUCCCUCCUCCUGCCCCACCCCUCCCUGCUUCUCUCUGUUUAUUUAUAGUUUGUUUCAAACUUUAAUAGGAAGUGGCAUAUGCUCAUAUUUAGGAAUCACUUUGUUAUUCUCCUUCCCACAUUUGUAUUUCUCAAUAUUGGCCUAUUCAAAAGCAAAUGAUGCUCAAACAUUUCAGAUUUUUUUAAAGAGUUCUGCCCUCCCGCGCUGUGAGCUCUUUGCUUUCUCCUCUGUGAACAGAAGGUCGGGGUCUUCCAGGACCACCAGGGCUUCCUCUGUGGACCUGAGGGGCUGGAGCUUUGGACUGAGAUAUUUUUGCUUGAUUUGGAGUUUGUCUCUGCACCUGCAGCUACUGUACAUUUCCUAGGAGAAGCAAGAUCUGGCAGUGGCCCUACAGUGGCUUUUCUGUGUGCCCAAACCCUCAAAAAGCCCAGUUUUCAGGGGUAAGUUGUGAC